rnacentral:rRNA from 1 species
CAAUAGCGUAUAUUAAAGUUGUUGCAGUUAAAAAGCUCGUAGUUGGAUUUCGGGGCAGCCUGGCUGGUCCGCCGCAAGGCGAGUACUGGUCAGCCGCCCUUCCUCUCGAAAGCCCCGACUGCUCUUCGUUGCAGUGGUCGGGUAGUUCGGGACGUUUACUUUGAAAAAAUUAGAGUGUUCAAGGCAGGCCUACGCCUGAAUACAUUAGCAUGGAAUAAUGGAAGAGGACCUCGGUCCUAUUUUGUUGGUUUCCAGGGCCGAAGUAAUGAUUAAGAGGGACAGUUGGGGGCAUUCGUAUUUAAUUGUCAGAGGUGAAAUUCUCGGAUUUAUGAAAGACGAACGACUGCGAAAGCAUUUGCCAAGGAUGUUUUCAUUAA